GUAGGGCUGUAGCUUGGAGAGGUAGGGCUAUAGCUCGGUGAGGUUGGAGAAUAAGAGGGACUUGUAGGUGAGUAGGCUGGACUUGUUGGGCUGUAACCUGGUGAACUAGGACUGUAAGUAGGUGAUGUGGGGCUGUAACCAGGCGAGGUAGGACUGUAGCCAGGAGAUGUAGGGCUGUAACCAGGCGAGGUAGGACUGUAGCCAGGAGAUGAAGGACUGUAGCCAGGAGAUGAUGGGCUGUAACCAGGGGAUGACGUGGGAGAGAAUGCCAUCCCACCAACAUAAGGUGAGAACUGAGCAUCCGAAAUGGGAGAGAGACGGAGAUUUGGGCUCAGCAAGUAACUUGGAGACAUCAUGCCUUCAUGAUAUGGAGUUCCUGAUACUGGAGAUCGA
rnacentral:lncRNA from 1 species